CCUACGGGGGGCAGCAGUGGGGAAUAUUGCACAAUGGGCGCAAGCCUGAUGCAGCCAUGCCGCGUGUGUGAAGAAGGCCUUCGGGUUGUAAAGCACUUUCAGCGGGGAGGAAGGCGGUGAGGUUAAUAACCUCAUCGAUUGACGUUACCCGCAGAAGAAGCACCGGCUAACUCCGUGCCAGCAGCCGCGGUAAUACGGAGGGUGCAAGCGUUAAUCGGAAUUACUGGGCGUAAAGCGCACGCAGGCGGUCUGUCAAGUCGGAUGUGAAAUCCCCGGGCUCAACCUGGGAACUGCAUUCGAAACUGGCAGGCUAGAGUCUUGUAGAGGGAGGUAGAAUUCCAGGUGUAGCGGUGAAAUGCGUAGAGAUCUGGAGGAAUACCGGUGGCGAAGGCGGCCCCCUGGACAAAGACUGACGCUCAGGUGCGAAAGCGUGGGGAGCAAACAGGAUUAGAUACCCGUGUAGUC
rnacentral:rRNA from 1 species